CCUACGGUGGAGCUGCAGUGGGGAAUAUUGGACAAUGGGCGAAAGCCUGAUCCAGCCAUGCCGCGUGUGUGAAGAAGGCCUUCGGGUUGUAAAGCACUUUCAGUGGGUAAGAAAGCCUUGGGGCUAAUACCCUCGAGGAAGGACAUCACCCACAGAAGAAGCACCGGCUAACUCCGUGCCAGCAGCCGCGGUAAUACGGAGGGUACGAGCGUUAAUCGGAAUUACUGGGCGUAAAGCGCGCGUAGGCGGUCUGAUAAGCCGGUUGUGAAAGCCCCGGGCUCAACCUGGGAACGGCAUCCGGAACUGUCAGGCUAGAGUGCAGGAGAGGAAGGUAGAAUUCCCGGUGUAGCGGUGAAAUGCGUAGAGAUCGGGAGGAAUACCAGUGGCGAAGGCGGCCUUCUGGACUGACACUGACGCUGAGGUGCGAAAGCGUGGGUAGCAAACAGGAUUAGAUACCCCGGUAGUC
rnacentral:rRNA from 1 species